rnacentral:rRNA from 1 species
UACGUAGGGGGCAAGCGUUGUCCGGAUUUAUUGGGCGUAAAGAGCGUGUAGGCGGCCAAGCAGGUCAGCUGUGAAAACUCGAGGCUCAACCUCGAGACGUCGGUUGAAACCGCUUGGCUAGAGUCCGGAAGAGGAGAGUGGAAUUCCCGGUGUAGCGGUGAAAUGCGCAGAUAUCGGGAGGAACACCCGUGGCGAAGGCGGCACUCUGGGACGGUACUGACGCUGAGACGCGAAAGCGUGGGGAGCAAACAGG